CAACCCUAUAACGCUCAUUAUUCUGGACAUGGGAUGGACUGGAAACACAAGUAGCCUAAUCAGCCUUCGCCAUUCUGUCAUUUCACCAGUUUCACCAGAGGGUGGUUUCUGUGGCUGCAGUUUCCUUAUGCUGGCUCCGGUUUUCCAAAUGAAGAAUACUCAGA